rnacentral:rRNA from 1 species
CAGUAGCCGCGGUAAUACGAAGGGGGCUAGCGUUGUUCGGAUUUACUGGGCGUAAAGGGUGCGUAGGCGGAUUGUUAAGUCAGGGGUGAACUCCCGAGGCUCAACCUCGGAACUGCCUUUGAUACUGGCGAUCUUGAGUCCGGGAGAGGUGAGUGGAACUGCGAGUGUAGAGGUGAAAUUCGUAGAUAUUCGCAAGAACACCGGUGGCGAAGGCGGCUCACUGGCCCGGAACUGACGCUGAGGCACGAAAGCGUGGGGAGCAAACAGGAUUAGAUACCCCAGUAGUCCCUGUCUCUUAUAC